rnacentral:rRNA from 1 species
CCUACGGGAUGCAGCAGUGGGGAAUAUUGGACAAUGGGGGGAACCCUGAUCCAGCGACGCCGCGUGAGUGAAGAAGUAUUUCGGUAUGUAAAGCUCUAUCAGCAGGGAAGAAAGAAAUGACGGUACCUGACUAAGAAGCCCCGGCUAACUACAUGCCAGCAGCCGCGGUAAUACGUAGGGGGCAAGCGUUAUCCGGAUUUACUGGGUGUAAAGGGAGCGUAGACGGCGAUGCAAGUCUGAAGUGAAAGGCGGGGGCCCAACCCCCGGACUGCUUUGGAAACUGUAUGGCUGGAGUGCAGGAGAGGUAAGUGGAAUUCCUAGUGUAGCGGUGAAAUGCGUAGAGAUGAGGAGGAACACCAGUGGCGAAGGCGGCUUACUGGACUGUAACUGACGUUGAGGCUCGAAAGCGUGGGGAGCAAACAGGAUUAGAUACCCUAGUAGUC